rnacentral:rRNA from 1 species
GGCCGCGGGAAUUCGAUUAGGCCUAACACAUGCAAGUCGAGCGAACCCUUCGGGGUGAGCGGCGGACGGGUGAGUAACGCGUGGGUAACCUGCCCUGUACACACGGAUAACAUACCGAAAGGUAUGCUAAUACGAGAUAAUAUAUUUUAAUCGCAUGGUUAAGAUAUCAAAGCUCCGGCGGUACAGGAUGGACCCGCGUCUGAUUAGCUAGUUGGUGAGGUAAUGGCUCACCAAGGCGACGAUCAGUAGCCGACCUGAGAGGGUGAUCGGCCACACUGGAACUGAGACACGGUCCAGACUCCUACGGGAGGCAGCAGUGGGGAAUAUUGCACGAUGGGCGAAAGCCUGAUGCAGCAACGCCGCGUGAUAAAUGGAGGCCUUCGGGUCGUAAAGCUCUGUCCUCAAGGAAGAUAAUGACGUACUGAGAGAGCC